rnacentral:sRNA from 1 species
ACAGAACAAAGAAUGCAAGUACAGCAGCAACACAGCCAGGAGGGCAGCCCCAGAAUUGGGAGGCCAACAGUGCUACUGGGCUCAAGUGCUGUUAUAAGUGGUGCGGCUGAACAAGCUGGAAUAAUAGAAGCUGGAGAUGAAAUUCUUGCUAUUAAUGGGAAACCUCUGGUUGGGCUCAUGCACUUUGAUGCCUGGAAUAUUAUGAAGUCUGUCCCAGAAGGACCUGUGCAGUUAUUAAUUAGAAAGCAUAGGAAUUCUUCAUGAAUUUUAACAAGAAUCAUUUUCUCAGUUCUCUUCUUUCUUUAGCAAAUCAGAGUGACUUCUUUAAAUCACAGGUUGUUGAAAUGGCCAACACUGGUACAGACACGGACUGUAAAAAUCUCCAAGCUUGUGCUUACACAUGAAGCCUGACUUAACUGUAUGUGCAACAGCAAUGAAAUUAACUCCAGAAGCCUUCCACCUGCGUCACCCAGGCCGGGAGGGUUCCUUCGUUCCAGUGCCUGUCCCCUACCUUUAUGUUUACUGAUGGGGAUACAAGAUGUGACACACCCUUCUUUAUUUGAAACAAACACUUAGCUAGACCUUUGCUUCCUUCUUGCCAGCUCUCCCAACAUACCCAAUCCUGGUGAUCAGGGAACUAAAAGUCUGAGGGGGACACAAAUGUCACACCUAAGAGGACUAUCAAUCAUUUUGUAUGAUUUUGUAAGUAAGUAAAUGACAGAAUGCUUUUAGGCACAUUCAAUGGAAGGAGGCGAUGUAGGUCUGUAUAUGUUACCCUGAAAAGAGAAUAAGACUUAAAAAAAAUGAAUUAUGACCUGUUAGGCUGAGCUCAGGAAUUGUCCAAAAAGGAAAAAGCAAAAUAAUUAUUAAUAGAGAGUAUUUUUUAGUGAGUGUA